rnacentral:rRNA from 1 species
UACGUAGGUGACAAGCGUUGUCCGGAUUUACUGGGCGUAAAGAGCGCGCAGGCGGUCGAUCAAGUCGAGUGUGAAAGCCCCGGCUCAACUGGGAGGGUCAUUCGAUACUGAUCGACUCGAAGGCAGGAGAGGGUAGUGGAAUUCCCGGUGUAGUGGUGAAAUGCGUAGAGAUCGGGAGGAACAUCUGUGGCGAAGGCGGCCAUCUGGACCAGCACUGACACUGAGGCACGGAAAGCGUGGGGAGCAAACAGG